ACAGUCCAAAAGCUGCGAGGCUCACCACGUACAAGACGCGUAAGCACACGUCUUUCAUCGUGAGCGGGCUAAGGUCUGAGUAUUUCAAUCUCCCUCGAUCAACUCUUGCCGGGUCCAGUCUUGAUGGACUGCGCGAUGUACCAGAAAAGCAGUAGCCAGAAAAGUCCCUCUGCCAAGCUAUGUGCUUGCUCUGCGGAGCGGCCCUUCGGUCAGAACUCCAUGACCUUUAUCCCCACGGCUGGGGUACUGGGAGGGUUGGGACGGUCAACUUUGAAAAGCGUCGCGGAGAUCGGGUGGUCGAAUACGUCCUUCAGGACCUUUGAACAUAUUCUCUAUCCCAGCGGACGUGCCCUUUGAGGGCGCGCAACAUGGACAAUUCUGUGCGCUCUAACGCCUCAGAAUAUCGGACCGAGACACGGGCAACCAAGGCAAGCAGCAGCCUGGCGGACGCGCCUCUGCUCAUCGUGACCACCACGUUGCCGUGCCCUAUCGCUCUCACUGACACCACGUCAGCUCGACUCGCCUGUAGUUGACCGAUCUUGAUCACGUUGAUCCUAGCAUUCCCUGUACGAGGAGAUUGUUUCACGAUCGUCUUGUGAAGGACCCGUCCAUCCUUGAGUUCACUUCAUGGCUCGGAGGUUUAAUCCCCUUCGAAACUCGAUUCAGACUACUCUUGGACUGU
rnacentral:RNase_P_RNA from 2 species